rnacentral:rRNA from 1 species
AUGAACGCUGUCUACAGGCUUAACACAUGCAAGUCGAGGGGAAACGACGGGGAAGCUUGCUUCCCCGGGCGUCGACCGGCGCACGGGUGAGUAACGCGUAUCCAACCUGCCUCUGACUGAGGGAUAACCCGUCGAAAGUCGGCCUAAUACCUCAUGGCAUCGUCUGCGGGCAUCCAACGACGAUUAAAGAUUUCAUCGGUCAGGGAUGGGGAUGCGUCUGAUUAGCUUGUUGGCGGGGUGACGGCCCACCAAGGCUACGAUCAGUAGGGGUUCUGAGAGGAAGGUCCCCCACAUUGGAACUGAGACACGGUCCAAACUCCUACGGGAGGCAGCAGUGAGGAAGAUUGGUCAAUGGGCGGGAGCCUGAACCAGCCAAGUAGCGUGCAGGAUGACGGCCCUAUGGGUUGUAAACUGCUUUUAGGCGGGGAUAAAGUGAGGGACGUGUCCUUCAUUGCAGGUACCGCAUGAAUAAGGACCGGCUAAUUCCGUG